AUUGAACGCUGGCGGCAUGCCUAAUACAUGCAAGUCGAACGCAUGGCGGACGGGCGAGUAAUGUCUUGACAACUGCCUGACGUAGGCGUAUAACUACUGUAAACGUUAGCUACUAACGCUUACCACCCGUUGUGCCCAGAUGGGAUUCGCUAGUGGGUGUGGUAACGGCUCACCAAGGCGACGAUCCCUAGCAGGUCUGAGAGGAUGACCAGCCACACUGGAACUGAGACACGGUCCAGACUCCUACGGGAGGCAGCAGUGGGGAAUAUUGGACAAUGGGCGCAAGCCUGAUGCAGCCAUGCCGCGUGUAUGAAGAAGGCCUUCGGGUUGUAAAGUUCUUUCAGCGGGGAGGCGUUACCCGCAGAAGAAGCACCGGCUAACUCCGUGCCAGCAGCCGCGGUAAUAC
rnacentral:rRNA from 1 species